ACUUAAUUAGUUUAAUAAAAAUAAUAAAUUGUGGUUUUAUAGAUGAAUAAAUUCAUUAAGUA
rnacentral:tRNA from 1 species